UGAAAGUCUCCGAGGGUGAGGCCCAGCAAUCUGUGCUUUAGCAAGUCUUCGGGUGAUUCUGAGGCAAGAAGAAAAUGGAGGCCUCUGUCCUACAACCGUGAGGAAGAGGACGCUGAACCUCAGGCCAGCAAACCAUAGACCGAUGCACAUGGAGCAUGAGGAGGAGAACAGGUCGCAGAUAUCCGAAAGGCUUUGUGAAAGACGCAUCUCCUGGAGGAGCGAUGCUCAAGGAGAUGAGGCAGCUGUGAGAUUCGGAGGAGGUCGGAGAGGUCAAAUCUUGUGAUUCUUUGGCCGAGACGGAAGUGAUGCUCUGCCAGUUCUAAGUGUUAAAAGGCUGCGAUUAUGUCUACUUGCUCUCUGGUGCCUCUACCAUCUGCAUGAGGAUAAAAUGUCCACGUCAGUCCAUUGGGCCAGGCAAGAGGACAAGGGAUGCAUAUUACAGAACCUCGUUAGCUGGACCCUGCAUACAUUGCCAACCCAGAGCCAACAGCAGACACGUGAGCAAACCUAGCAGAAAUCAAGAGUCACCCAGUCAAAC
rnacentral:lncRNA from 1 species